UGUUGAUCCAAAGUAAAUAAACUAGAUACUCCUAGUCAGGGUUGGUAGAUAAGUAUAAGUAUUCUCUAGACUUUCUAAGUGUGCUCUAAAUGUGUAAAAGUAAUGAGUACUCCACAGUUUCUAAGUAAUAAUAAAAACUAAAUGUUCCUGCUCUGGAAGAAUUUUCUUCUGGAUUCUAAGUUCGUUCUAAUUCCCUUUCUGAGUUGCAAUACUAGGAAUCUCUCUGCAUCUAAAUAGUGAGUACAGUUUCUAAAAAUAAGCUAAAGGGUGACUAAUAAACUAGAGUCUCUGGAUUCCAAGUUUGUUCUAAUUUCUUUUCUGGGUUAAAAACUCCACAGUUUCUAAAAACAUAAGAUAAAAAAGAGGAAAGGACACAUUAGGGCAUAUGGCAACAUUCAGACAAAACAAAGGGCAAAACAAAGACAUGAAUGAAGGCAGUGACAUCACAGGGCCAUGAAACCACGUUGCUCAGCCUCCCAGCAGAAGUCCGAUAAGAUGUUAUCAAGGUGUGGCCUUGGGUGCGCUCGGCUCCACAGCUGCAUGGAUAACAGGAGGGGGUGAGGUGGGAAGGAGCGAUAUGUUUACAUAUCUUCAAGGAGAUUGGAAAUAUGCAGCCCUUCCAAGGCAACACGGGGAAAGCCAAUUCAGAUAUAGAAUGUUUUAGGUCGGGUAGAUUAUAAAUUUCAAUCUUCCCUAAAGUCUCACCGAUACAUCUCAGUUCCCAAUUGUCCAAAGUCGUUCCACUGAACCGAAACUAACAACUUCUCCAAGAUCGAUUCCAUCCCGUUAGUGAGUUUUGUGUCCUCGGCUGGGCUGCGAGUCUCAGCAAGACUCACAUCCAGCUUGCGUCUCUGUCCACACCAACAGUCUGAGUGUUCGCUAGUUCGGCCAAGUCCGUCACAAAUUUGUGGAUAAGCCAGGUAUCCGCAAGCACCAAACAGCAAAAAUCCUGUUAUCAUGAAUAAAUCCAGGGUGUAUCCCGCCAGGUGUGUCCCUGCAGGACAAGAGGGCCCUCCUGUGCCCAGUCUUCUCGUCGAGAAAAUUUGAUCAAUUGCAUUGAGAGACCGGUUGACCAGAUCCAUAAUUUGUAGAUUUGGAGGAUGUGCAAAGAAAGGCUCCAAA